UGGUACAAAAGUUAUUGUGGUUUUUGCAAUUACUUUUAAUGGCAAAAAUCUCAAUUACUUUUGCACCAACCUAAUAC
rnacentral:miRNA from 1 species